GUCGUCAGCCGGGGCCGCAGCGCGGCCGGUGGGGACUGCGGGGCGGGCCGGAGUCCGUCCGAGGGCUCCCGCACCUCGGGCUGCGGGAACAUUAAAAUCUCCCCAGAUGCUCACUGCUCUGAUCAUUUCCCCUACAGCACCAGACAUGUUGGCAUCAUCUCUUAGUUGGGCCAUGUGGCCAGGGAACCCUUCAUGAAACCACCUCUGCAGUCCUGGAGAGUUGCUGUAGAAGAAGGAAAAGAGAGGAAGACAACACAACACAGGAGGGGAUAAGUACCUCUGGACACAAUGGAAGUAGUAGUUGUUGAGCAGAGGGAAAGGGAUAGGAGAAGGAUGUGGACUGCAGUGCUGCAGUGCCAGAGCCCCAGCAGCUACUAUUAAUGAGUGUCUGGAAUAUGUUCCUGGCAUUUCACCUACCCUCUCUCCAAUCCUUCCAAGAAACUCACAAAGCAGGGCUUUUUCUUGAACUUCUCUUCCUCACAACAGUUAAAUCAUCCAUUUAAAGAUGUCAAACAACCUCCGUGUUCUAAGAUGUCUCUGUGUUAGGAAAACUUGGAUAAGCAGGUCCAUAGAAAUUCCUCUGCUAGCCCUGUCUCCUGGAAUUUCUACAUAAUGGCAUAUCCUCAGUUUGAAUAGCUCUCUGGUUCCAGUUUGAAGCUGAAAAGGUUAAAUUCUACCUGAAGGAUGAAAACAACCAACAUUCUGUGCCAAGACAGUCAGGAGGGCAACCAUGUUUCCUGGUGGAGCCUCUGGAACCACUCAAGCCAAGAUGACCGGGGGUUUGGCUGGGAGGAGAUGGGGAAACUACAGACCCUACAGAUGGUUUCCUGUACCAUGAGGUUAAGCCUGGGGGCAGGAGAGGCUGUACCUUAGUUCCUUCAUCUGUAAAAUAAAGUAACAUAGUACCUACCUCA
rnacentral:lncRNA from 1 species